rnacentral:rRNA from 1 species
AAAGGGAGCGUAGGCGGCGCGGUAAGUCGGAUGUGAAAUCCCGGGGCUCAACCCCGGAACUGCAUCUGAUACUGCCGUGCUAGAGUAAUGGAGGGGUAGCUGGAAUUCUCGGUGUAGCAGUGAAAUGCGUAGAUAUCGAGAGGAACACUCGUGGCGAAAGCGAGCUACUGGACAUUUACUGACGCUGAGGCUCGAAGGCUAGGGGAGCGAAAGGGAUUAGAUACCCUUGU